UUUAGGGAGACCUACACCCCUCAGGAAUCGAAAAGCAAACAGUUAUAUAGAUACUGAGUUGGUCUAACCUAGGUCGGUCGCAGAUAUUUGCAAUAUGUUCAACGCUUUCAAACUAUGAUUUGGUUCGAAAUGGGCUAUUAGCUCAGGUGGUUAGAGCGCACCCCUGAUAAGGGUGAGGUCCCUGGUUCGAGUCCAGGAUGGCCCACCUGAAUCAAUUAAAAAGGUAAAAUGUAAAAUUAAAAAUUGAAGAUGACUUCAAGAGAUUUUUAAUUCUCUAUUUUUAAUUUUUAAUUAUGGAUGGGGGUUUAGCUCAGUUGGUAGAGCGCCUGCUUUGCAAGCAGGAUGUCAGCGGUUCGAGUCCGCUAACCUCCACCUGUGGCGAUUGCCAAAUUAAAAUUAGUGAGAGUUCAGCAACAUGACUUUGGUGUCAGACUGCUGAGUUUAAUCUCAGCCAGAACCUUGAAAACUGCAUAGUAACGCGAAAUUAGCAGGUAGACACAGACAUUCUUUUAUAGAUGUUGAGUGAAUGCAAUCAUGUGAAACACCAAAUGAAUUGAGUGGUCAAGCUAAUAAG
rnacentral:tRNA from 1 species